CUGUUCUGGGCCUCCUCCAUUGUCAGAAUGGUGGCCUGGCGGUAGAGCGACUACCUUACAGUGCCAGAGACCCGGGUUCGAUCCUGACCACGGGUGCUUGUCUGUACAGAAUUUGUACGUUCUCCCCGUGACCUGCGUGUGUUUCCUUCGAGAUCCUCGGUUUCCUCUCA